rnacentral:rRNA from 1 species
UGCGUAGGCGGUUACUUAAGUAGGGUGUGAAAUGUCCCGGCUCAACCGGGGAAUGGCGCUCUAAACUGGGUGGCUUGAGUGAGAUAGAGGUGUGCGGAACUUCCGGUGGAGCGGUGAAAUGUGUUGAUAUCGGAGGGAACACCAGUGGCGAAGGCGGCUCACUGGCCCGGUACUGACACUGAGGUGCGAAAGCGUGGGGAGCAAAACA